rnacentral:rRNA from 1 species
ACUCAAAUGAAUUGACGGGGGCUCACACAAGCGGUGGAGUAUGUGGCUUAAUUCGAGGCUACGCGCAAAACCUUAUCCCGGGCUUGACAUGCACGGAUUAGCCGGCGGAAACGUCGGCGAGGCCGCAAGGUACAACGUGCACAGGUGCUGCAUGGCUGUCGUCAGCUCGUGCCGUGAGGUGUUGGGUUAAGUCCCGUAACGAGCGCAACCCCUGCCCCUAGUUGCCAGCGGGUCAUGCCGGGAACUCUAGGGGGACCGCCGGCGUCAAGCCGGAGGAAGGCGGGGAUGACGUCAAGUCCUCAUGGCCCUUAUGCCCGGGGCUGCACACGUACUACAAUGGGGCGGACAGAGCGACGCUAGCUCGCAAGAGUACGCCAAUCGCAAAAACCGCCCCUCAGUUCGGAUUGUGGGCUGCAACCCGCCCACAUGAAGCUGGAAUCGCUAGUAAUCGCGGAUCAGCAUGCCGCGGUGAAUGGGUUCCUGAGCCUUGUACACACCGCCCGU